CAGUAGCCGCGGUAAUACCAGCAGCCCAAGUGGUGGUCGCGCUUAUUGGGCCUAAAGCGCUCGUAGCCUGGCCGGUAAGUUCCCCGUGAAAUCGGGUCGCCCAACGAUUCGGCUUGCGGGGAAUACUGUCGGUCUUGGGGCCGGGAGACGCCGAGGGUACUCCGGGGGUAGCGGUGAAAUGCUGUAAUCCUCGGGGGACUACCAGUGGCGAAGGCGCUCGGCGAUAACGGGCCUGACGGUGAGGGGCGAAAGCUGGGGGCGCGAACGGGAUUAGAUACCCCUGUAGUCCCUGUCUCUUAUA
rnacentral:rRNA from 1 species